rnacentral:rRNA from 1 species
ACGGGUGAGUAAUGCCUAGGAAUCUGCCUGGUAGUGGGGGAUAACGCUCGGAAACGGACGCUAAUACCGCAUACGUCCUACGGGAGAAAGCAGGGGACCUUCGGGCCUUGCGCUAUCAGAUGAGCCUAGGUCGGAUUAGCUAGUUGGUGAGGUAAUGGCUCACCAAGGCGACGAUCCGUAACUGGUCUGAGAGGAUGAUCAGUCACACUGGAACUGAGACACGGUCCAGACUCCUACGGGAGGCAGCAGUGGGGAAUAUUGGACAAUGGGCGAAAGCCUGAUCCAGCCAUGCCGCGUGUGUGAAGAAGGUCUUCGGAUUGUAAAGCACUUUAAGUUGGGAGGAAGGGCAGUAAAUUAAUACUUUGCUGUUUUGACGUUACCGACAGAAUAAGCACCGGCUAACUCUGUGCCAGCAGCCGCGGUAAUACAGAGGGUGCAAGCGUUAAUCGGAAUUACUGGGCGUAAAGCGCGCGUAGGUGGUUUGUUAAGUUGGAUGUGAAAUCCCCGGGCUCAACCUGGGAACUGCAUUCAAAACUGACAGCUAGAGUAUGGUAGAGGGUGGUGGAAUUUCCUGUGUAGCGGUG